AGGGCCCGCAAUUAUUAUCCCACCUGGGCGAUCAAGCCAAGGUCCACAUCCCACCCGGGCGAUUAAGCCAAGGUCAGCAAUCAUUAUACCACCCGGGCAAUCAAGCCAAGGUCCGCAUCCCACCCGGGCGAUUAAGCCAAGAUCAGCAAUCAUUAUCCCACCCGGGCAAUCAAGUCAAGGUCCGCAUCCCACCCGGGCGAUUAAGCCAAGGUCAGCAAUUAUUAUCCCACCCUGGCAAUCAAGCCAAGGUCCGCAUCCCACCCGAGCUAUCAAGCCAAGGGCCACAUCCCACCCCGGCAAUCAAGCUAAGGUCCGCAUCCCACCAGAGCAAUCAAGCCAAGGGCCACAUCCCACCCCGGCAAUCAAGCUAAGGUCCGCAUCCCACCAGAGCAAUCAAGCCAAGGGCCACAUCCCACCCCGGCAAUCAAGCUAAGGUCCGCAUCCCACCAGAGCAAUCAAGCCAAGGGCCACAUCCCACCCCGGCAAUCAAGCUAAGGUCCGCAUCCCACCAGAGCAAUCAAGCCAAGGGCCACAUCCCACCCCGGCAAUCAAGCAAAGGUCCGGAUCCCACCCGAGCUAUCAAGCCAAGGGCCACAUCCCACCCCGGCAAUCAAGCUAAGGUCCGCAUCCCACCAGAGCAAUCAAGCCAAGGGCCAUAUCCCACCCCGGAUAUCAAGCUAAGGUCCGCAUCCCACCCGGGCAAUCAAGCCAAGGUCAACAUCCCACCCGGGCAAUCAAGCCAAGGUCAGCGAUCAUUAUCCCACCCGGGCAGUUAAGCCAAGGUCAGCAUCCCACCCGGACAGUCAAGCCAGGGUCAGCAACCCUCCCCAUUCCUCCGGGCUUGGGACCGGCUCUUAGUUGGGCUGGCUUGCCCCCCAAGAGGCUGGGUUAACAGUUUUGUUACCCCUUUCUUCACCUCUUUCUACGUACAACAACUUUUGUUUUCACAGUCUCCGUAAAAGAUGCAGUGGAAGGUUCACGGCACCUUCAGUUGUCUUUCAACAACUGUAAUUUCUUGUUUCUUUACUAACUUCAUCUGUUUCGUUAAUGACUUCCCUUUCCAACGUCUCCGCCUUCUUUUUUGAGGGUAAUUGUGCUUCUUCCUCAAAGUGUGUCCGCGAUUCGUCAUCACUCAACUAUACGUUGUUCUCCUUAGGAUCGUCAUCAAGGUUAGGGUAACGCAUAUAUUGAGGGCAUUUGGUGUUGGCGGCCUCUUCUGACCGCCUGCAGGGGACGGGGACCUCCUCGGGGCCCCUCAGUAACUCCGUCUCUGCCGUGAGGGGGCCCAAUGCUUCCCCCUCGGCCCCCGCCCCCGGCCUUAGCAGGAAGACUGUUUGGCUCUUCACAAAAUGCCAAGACGAAGA